UUCAGUAGUGAUUCUUCAGUAGUGAUUCUUCAGUAGUGAUUCUUCAGUAGUGAUUCUUCAGUAAUGAUUCAUCAGUAGUGAUUCUUCACUCUUCAGCAGGGAUUAUUCAGUAAUGAUUCUUCAGUAGUGAUUCUUCAGUAGUGAUUUUUCACUCUUCAGCAGGGAUUAUUCAGUAAUGAUCAUUCAGUAAAGUCUUUGUUGUCAUUCAAUGAAAGACAAGUGGUUUUCAUGCACAUGGUGGACUGAGUCUGCCCAGACACCUACACUAUUUCCACUGGCUCAUUAAUCCCCAGUCUACCUGACAGCCUGAUUGACAACCUGUCAGAAGUCAGGACACAAAACGCACACCAAUAUGUACACAGACAACUUGAAAUGUAUGGAGGGACAGUAGAAAGCAGCCAAACACACACAUACACAGACACACACACACACACACACACAGACACACAGACACACACUCCUGUGCAGACUUGUCUGAACCCUCCAACACACUUGACAUUCAGAGAGACUGUUCCUUUGAUCCGGCCUGCGCUUCUUCAGACUGGCUGUGGUGUAACACUGUCUCAUUAGGGCCCUGGAUAACACACACACACCGAGACACACACACUGAGACACACACACACACACACCGAGACACACACACCGAGACACACACACUGAGACACACACACACACCAGACACACACACACACACCGAGACACACACACACGAGACACACACACACACAACGAGACACACACAACGAGACACACACACGAGACACACACACGAGACACACACACGAGACACACACACAAGACACAAACACCGAGACACACACACCAGACACACACACCAAGACACACACACACACACAUAGACACCGAGACACACACACCGAGACACACACACACCGAGACACACACACACACCGAGACACACACACACACCGAGACACACACACCGAGACACACACACACACCGAGACACCGAGACACACACACAGAGACACACACACAUAGACACUGAGACACCGAGACACACACACAGAGACACACACACACACACACCGAGACACUGAGACACACAGACAUUUUAAUCCUGGAUAUUUUAGGAAGGAGUUGUAUCUCUCUAGUUAGUUCCGGUUCCGGUCCUGUCUCUCAACACACAGCAGACCUCUCCAACACGGUCCAUCCAUUCUGUCUCUCAACACACAGCAGGCGUCUCCAACACGGUCCAUCCAUUCUGUCUCUCAACACACAGCAGGCGUCUCCAACACGGUCCAUCCAUUCUGUCUCUCAACACGGUCCAUCCAUUCUGUCUCUCAACACACAGCAGGCGUCUCCAACACGGUCCAUCCAUUCUGUCUCUCAACACACAGCAGGCGUCUCCAACACGGUCCAUCCAUUCUGUCUCUCAACACGGUCCAUCCAUUCUGUCUCUCAACACGGUCCAUCCAUUCUGUCUCUCAACACACAGCAGGCGUCUCCAACACGGUCCAUCCAUUCUGUCUCUCAACACACAGCAGGCGUCUCCAACACGGUCCAUCCAUUCUGUCUCUCAACACACAGCAGGCGUCUCCAACACGGUCCAUCCAUUCUGUCUCUCAACACACAGCAGGAGACUCCAACACGGUCCAUCCAUUCUGUCUCUCAACACACAGCAGGCGUCUCCAACACGGUCCAUCCAUUCUGUCUCUCAACACGGUCCAUCCAUUCUGUCUCUCAACACACAGCAAGCGUCUCCAACACGGUCCGUCCAUUCUGUCUCUCAACAC